AUUUAGUUUACUAAUGAUCUCUUAGUGGCGGACGGGUUAGUAACGCGUGAGCAACUUGCCUCAAAGAGGGGGAUAGUCCUGGGAAACUGGGUUUAAUACCGCAUGUGCUCUUCGGAGUAAAGCUGGCUUCGGCUGGUGCUUUGAGAUAGGCUCGCGUCCUAUCAGCUAGUUGGUGAGGUAACGGCUCACCAAGGCGACGACGGGUAGUUGGUCUGAGAGGACGAUCAGCAACACUGGAACUGAGACACGGUCCAGACACCUACGGGUGGCAGCAGUCGAGAAUCAUUCACAAUGGGGGCAACCCUGAUGGUGCAACGCCGCGUGGAGGAUGAAGGCCCUAGGGUCGUAAACUCCUGUCAUAUGAGAGUAAGGCAUAUUAGUUAAUAGCUAGUAUGUUUGAUAGUAUCAUAAGAGGAAGGGACGGCUAACUUCGUGCCAGCAGCCGCGGUAAUACGAAGGUCCCGAGCGUUAUUCGGAAUCACUGGGCGUAAAGGGAGCGUAGGCUGCGUGGUAAGUCAGAUGUGAAAUCUCAGGGCUCAACCCUGAAACUGCAUCCGAUACUGCCACGCUAGAGUAAUGGAGGGGUAAGUGGAAUUCUCAGUGUAGCAGUGAAAUGCGUAGAUAUUGAGAGGAAGACCAACGGCGAAGGCAGCUUACUGGACAUUUACUGACGCUGAGGCUCGAAGGCUAGGGUAGCGAAAGGGAUUAGAUACCCCUGUAGUCCUAGCAGUAAACGAUGUGCGCUUGGUGUGGGCAGGUUCGACCCUGUCUGUGCCGGAGCUAACGCGUUAAGCGCACCGCCUGGGGAGUACGGUCGCAAGACUAAAACU
rnacentral:rRNA from 1 species